AAAAAAUCAGGCCAGCACAUCACCAUCACCCCAUUCUGUUUCUCCACCAUCUUCCUGCUUUAAAUGUGUCUGUGAGUGCUGGGAAUAUGGACGUUGGAAAACCAAGUUGAGAUGCCAGCAUUUAACCUUUUCAGUUUUAUAAAAUUGACCCAUUUUGCUGGAAGUUGAGGGCUGGGAGAAGGAGUGACAGGUUUAAAGCCAGCAGUUCACUGCCAUCUCUUAAAGGCCCUCAAAAUGGAUUUGGGGUUUAUCUCUUAAGAGACAUCUGGGGCACGAUUGCCACUCUCUUUUCUUUCGCUGACCCUGCAGCUCAGGACUUGCGCAGAAGGCAGAGUCUUACUCCAUCACCCGGGCUGGAGUAUAGUUGGUGCCGUCUCGGCUCACUGCAACCUCCACCUCCCAGAUUCAAGCGACCCUCCAGCCUCAGCCUCCUGAGUAACUGGGAUUACAGACGUGCACCACCACAUCCAGCUAAUUGAUAAUAAUCUGAGAAGUUUCUUGAAGACCAUCAGCAUCUUCAAUGGGCGACUGGAAGAUACACUGUGGUUACCUGGGAGGCAGCCCAGCCUGGACCAGCAACCCAACCUGCUUCUUCAGAGCAAAACAAGAACUAGGAAUCAUCUUUUCACCUGGGAAGGAAUCAAGUAAAAAGCAAAAUUGAACUAAAGGCAAGGGUGACAUAAUUUGUAUUACAUAUAAAUGACCAGAAACCACUGGUGGCCACAAAGUUUUACUUUGAGCUAAUAAAACAUAUGCAUGCAUCCAGUGUAAAUCUAAGAGUCUAAGGAUGUUAUAACUCCUGAUAGGUAACUAUUUAAGAAAACAGAUGCAUUGGUAUUAGGUGAGAGUCCCCUGUUACAUGGAAAGCAUUAAAG
rnacentral:lncRNA from 1 species